UAUACCCUAUUCAGGCGUUGCUUACGUUUUUUUAUCCAAUAAGAAUGUAAGUGUCAUAAUAGGGUUAGAAAAAUAAUAUCUUUUUGAUUCAGUGAGUUAAUUUUUUGCUUUAUGACUAAAACUAUUUAAUGUUUUAGCCAUCAUAUAAUCACAUACAUUCUU
rnacentral:sRNA from 1 species